GACAGAGGGUGCGAACGUUGUUCGGAAUUACUGGGCGUAAAGCGCGUGUAGGCGGCAGCGCAAGUCGGGCGUGAAAUCCCACGGCUCAACCGUGGAAGUGCACUCGAAACUGCCGAGCUGGAGUGCCGGAGGGGAGAGUGGAAUUCCUGGUGUGAGCGGUGAAAUGCGCAGAGUAUCAGGAGGAACACCGGUGGCGAAGGCGGUUCUCUGGGCAUUACCUGACGCUGAGGAGCGAAAGUGUGGGGAGCGAACAGG
rnacentral:rRNA from 1 species